GUGAGGAAUAUUGGACAAUGGGCGCAAGCCUGAUCCAGCCAUGCCGCGUGCAGGAAGACGCAUCUAUGGUGUGUAAACUGCUUUUGUACGGGAAUAAACACUCCCUCGUGAGGGAGCUUGACGGUACCGUAAGAAUAAGGAUCGGCUAACUCCGUGCCAGCAGCCGCGGUAAUACGGAGGAUCCAAGCGUUAUCCGGAAUCAUUGUGUUUAAAGGGUCCGUAGGCGGUUUAAUAAGUCAGUGGUGAAAGCCCAUCGCUCAACGAUGGAACGGCCAUUGAUACUGUUAGACUUGAAUUACAAGGAAGUAACUAGAAUAUGUAGUGUAGCGGUGAAAUGCUUAGAUAUUACAUGGAAUACCAAUUGCGAAGGCAGGUUACUACUUGUGGAUUGACGCUGAUGGACGAAAGCGUGGGGAGCGAACAGGAUUAGAUACCCCAGUAGUCC
rnacentral:rRNA from 1 species